rnacentral:rRNA from 1 species
UACGUAGGGUGCAAGCGUUAAUCGGAAUUACUGGGCGUAAAGCGUGCGCAGGCGGCUAUGCAAGACAGAUGUGAAAUCCCCGGGCUUAACCUGGGAACUGCAUUUGUGACUGCAUGGCUAGAGUGCGGCAGAGGGGGAUGGAGUUCCGCGUGUAGCAGUGAAAUGCGUAGAUAUGCGGAGGAACACCGAUGGCGAAGGCAAUCCCCUGGGCCUGCACUGACGCUCAUGCACGAAAGCGUGGGGAGCAAACAGG